GNCAAGCUAGAGUGUGUCAGAGGGGGGUAGAAUUCCACGUGUAGCAGUGAAAUGCGUAGAGAUGUGGAGGAAUACCGAUGGCGAAGGCAGCCCCCUGGGAUAACACUGACGUUCAUGCUCGAAAGCGUAGGUAGCAAACAGGAUUAGAUACCCUGGUAGUNCACGCCCUAAACGAUGUCAAUUAGCUGUUGGGCAACUUGAUUGCUUAGUAGCGUAGCUAACGCGUGAAAUUGACCGCCUGGGGAGUACGGUCGCAAGAUUAAAACUCAAAGGAAUUGACGGGGACCCGCACAAGCGGUGGAUGAUGUGGAUUAAUUCGAUGCAACGCGAAGAACCUUACCUGGUCUUGACAUGUACGGAAUCUCUCAGAGACGGGAGAGUGCCUUCGGGAACCGUAACACAGGUGCUGCAUGGCUGUCGUCAGCUCGUGUCGUGAGAUGUUGGGUUAAGUCCCGCAACGAGCGCAACCCUUGUCAUUAGUUGCCAUCAUUUAGUUGGGCACUCUAAUGAGACUGCCGGUGACAAACCGGAGGAAGGUGGGGAUGACGUCAAGUCCUCAUGGCCCUUAUGACCAGGGCUUCACACGUCAUACAAUGGUCGGUACAGAGGGUCGCCAAGCCGCGAGGUGGAGCCAAUCUCACAAAACCGAUCGUAGUCCGGAUUGCACUCUGCAACUCGAGUGCAUGAAGUCGGAAUCGCUAGUAAUCGCAGGUCAGCAUACUGCGGUGAAUACGUUCCCGGGUCUUGUACACACCGCCCGUCACACCAUGGGAGUGGGGGAUACCA
rnacentral:rRNA from 1 species